AUUGAACGCUGGCGGCAGGCCUAACACAUGCAAGUCGAGCGGUAGAGAGGUGCUUGCAUCUCUUGAGAGCGGCGGACGGGUGAGUAAUGCCUAGGAAUCUGCCUAGUGGUGGGGGAUAACGUUCGGAAACGGACGCUAAUACCGCAUACGUCCUACGGGAGAAAGCGGGGGAUCUUCGGACCUCGCGCCAUUAGAUGAGCCUAGGUCGGAUUAGCUAGUUGGUGAGGUAAUGGCUCACCAAGGCGACGAUCCGUAACUGGUCUGAGAGGAUGAUCAGUCACACUGGAACUGAGACACGGUCCAGACUCCUACGGGAGGCAGCAGUGGGGAAUAUUGGACAAUGGGCGAAAGCCUGAUCCAGCCAUGCCGCGUGUGUGAAGAAGGUCUUCGGAUUGUAAAGCACUUUAAGUUGGGAGGAAGGGUAGUAACCUAAUACGUUGCUACUUUGACGUUACCGACAGAAUAAGCACCGGCUAACUUCGUGCCAGC
rnacentral:rRNA from 1 species